rnacentral:rRNA from 1 species
UACAGAGGGUGCGAGCGUUAAUCGGAAUUACUGGGCGUAAAGCGCACGUAGGUGGCUUUGCAAGUCGAUUGUGAAAUCCCCGGGCUUAACCUGGGAACUGCAGUCGAGACUGCUUUGCUUGAGUAUGGGAGAGGGAGGUGGAAUUUCCGGUGUAGCGGUGAAAUGCGUAGAUAUCGGAAGGAACAUCAGUGGCGAAGGCGACCUCCUGGACCAAUACUGACGCUCAUGUGCGAAAGCGUGGGGAGCAAACAGG